rnacentral:misc_RNA from 1 species
GCGGAGGAAAAGAAACCAACAGGGAUUGCCUCAGUAACGGCGAGUGAAGCGGCAACAGCUCAAAUUUGAAAUCUGGCUCCUUCGGGGUCCGAGUUGUAAUUUGCAGAGGAUGCGUCGGGUACGGGUCCCUACCGAGUUCCCUGGAACGGGACGCCAUAGAGGGUGAGAGCCCCGUCUGGUAGGAUACCCAGCCCAUGUGACGCUCCCUCGACGAGUCGAGUAGUUUGGGAAUGCUGCUCUAACGGGAGGUAUACUCCUUCCAAAGCUAAAUACCGGCUGGAGACCGAUAGCGCACAAGUAGAGUGAUCGAAAGAUGAAAAGCACUUUGAAAAGAGAGUCAAACAGCACGUGAAAUUGUUAAAAGGGAAGCACUCGCUACCAGACUUGGGUUUGGCGGUUCAACCGGGGCCACGCCCCGGGGCAUUCCGCCAGCUCAGGCCAGCAUCAGCUUUCCGUCGGGGGUAAAGACGUCGGGAAUGUGGCUCCCCUUCGGGGGAGUGUUAUAGCCCGGCGUGUCAUACUCUUCGGGGGGCUGAGGUACGCGCUUCUGCAAGGAUGCUGGCGUAAUGGUAGCUAGUGACCCGUCUUGAAACACGGACCAAGGAGUCAACCUUAUGUGCGAGUGCCCGGGCGUAAAACCCCAGCGCGGAAUGAAAGUGAACGUAGGUGAGAGCUUCGGCGCAUCACCGACCGAUCCUGAUGUCCUCGGACGGAUUUGAGUGAGAGCAUAUAGGGUUGGACCCGAAAGAAGAUGAACUAUGCGUGUGUAGGGUGAAGCCAGAGGAAACUCUGGUGGAGGCUCGCAGCGGUUCUGACGUGCAAAUCGA